GACAUAGGUGGCAAACGUUAUCCGGAAUUAUUGGGCGUAAAGGAUGCGUAGAUGGUCUAGUAAGUUAUCAGUGGUAAAUCGGGGCCCAACCUCGUGGAAGUUGGUAAUACCGUUAGACUUGAGUAUCGGAGAGGUUAACGGAACUCCCUGUGGAGCGGUGAAAUGUGUAGAUAUAGGGAAGAACACCAAACGGCGAAGGCAGUUAACUAUUCGGCUACUGACAUUGAGGCAUGAAAGCGUGGGGAGCAAAACGG
rnacentral:rRNA from 1 species